CCCUACAAUUAACUUCAAAUGUCACUUUUUGAAAUUUCAGAAUACUGUAGUAUCUUUUGGAGUGCCUGUGAUGAUGUGGGCUGAACGGGGCCCACGGUAGCAGCAUGCACACAAUUGCCUCAGCAAAGGACAAUUCAGUGGAAGCCAUCUUGAGCUGAUCCUCCCCGCCCCAUCCCUUUUGCUACAGUGAUUUGGUGAAUAGUCUCUUCUUCACCAUUUGGCAGCUCAGAGCUCUUUUCUGCAUCCAGGAGUUUUCUGUGAUUUCAUAUUUUGAUGCUUUUGAGUUUAUCGUAAUUCAGUCAUAUUAAGUGGUUGAGUUCCCACCAGGCAAGACACAGAAAAACAGUACAACUCCAUAGCUAUAAAUGACAUCAGCCCACAUAAUAUGAAUCCUUACAGUUAAAAGCAACACACAGCUGGGAAUUCACAGUAAGAUAGUAAGCUGGUAAAGCCGAGCAAUCUCUUUGAAACUGACUAGCUUUGUUUCAGUUCCAUUCAGUUCUUAAACAGAUGUAACUAUUGUUUUUAUGCUAUAGCAGCAUUCUGGGUUUUUGGAUUUGGUUUUGUGUUCAUAGCGGAAUAGUUGAACUAUAAAUGUUAAUCUCCAGUUAUUUCUCAAAGGUAACUUCUAAUGUCACGUCAUCAGUGACUACUGCAGGACAAGAGUGAAGAUCCACAAUGCAAUUCUAAUUUUUGUAUGAUAUAAACAACAUGUUUACUCUUCUGUUCUCUUUUCAGUAGCACCGUCAGUCAAUCGCAAUUGAAUUAUCUGGCAUUAAGUGAAGGGGCCAGCAAGAAAUAUGCAGUAGAUAUGUUAUCACCACAUUUCCCGACUAUUCCCAUUACUUGCUCGGGACAAGGAAAACGUUGUUUGCGGCAGUAUGCCACAGAAGAACUGCCUUUAGAAACUGGCUACUUAAAUGGAAAGCUGUAGGAUGCUUUGCCGCUGCUUUACCAUAAGAGUCCCCAUUUCCACUGUUGAAUAUGAUUACCACAGCUCAUGCCCAGAAAGGCUGAACCUGUACUAGGAGCUGCUCUGAGCUGGGUGCUUUUGCAAGGAAGUCAUCGGCAGCGAUUCAGCCAGUGCUACAAGAGCUGUCUCUUCUGUUCAAUUCCCCAGAUCUGCUGCAGAGCAGAAAUAGCUGUGGAGAAAUGUGCACUGCUUAGAGGAUAUCUCCCUAAUUGAAAAUGUAUUUCAAACUACAUAUUGCUUGCAUCGGGCUGGGGUUAGGAGAGAGGAAGAGGAUUUAUCAGCCAGACGCUUCCCUUGAAUGGCAAAAAAAUAGCAGAAGGCACAGGGUGAUUGUGCAGAGGAAGCAAAAGCAGUAUAAUGAGAACCCAUACAGAGUGCAGACGUUUACAUUAAAUACCAUGUCU